rnacentral:rRNA from 1 species
GUUGUAUGGUUAAGUGACUAAGCGUACACGGUGGAUGCCUUGGCAGUCAGAGGCGAUGAAAGACGUAGUAACUUGCGAUAAGCCCAGAUUAGGUAGUAACAACCAUUUGAGUCUGGGAUUUCUGAAUGGGGAAACCCACGUGCAUAAGCACGUAUCCUUACCUGAAUACAUAGGGUAAGGAGGCGAACCGGGGGAACUGAAACAUCUAAGUACCCCGAGGAAAAGAAAUCAACCGAGAUUCCGAAAGUAGCGGCGAGCGAAAUUGGACUAGCCCUUAAGCUUUACACGCGUUAGACGAACGGUCUGGAAAGUCCGACGAUACAGGGUGAUAGUCCCGUAGUUGACGACGUGUGUUCAGUGAAAUCGAGUAGGGCGGGACACGUGAUAUCCUGUCUGAAUAUGGGGGGACCAUCCUCCAAGGCUAAAUACUACUGACUGACCGAUAGUGAACCAGUACCGUGAGGGAAAGGCGAAAAGAACCCCUGUGAGGGGAGUGAAAUAGAACCUGAAACCGUGUACGUACAAGCAGUAGGAGCAGGCUUUGUCCUGUGACUGCGUACCUUUUGUAUAAUGGGUCAGCGACUUAUAUUCAGUGGCAAGGUUAACCAUCUAGGGGAGCCGUAGGGAAACCGAGUCUUAACUGGGCGUUCAGUCUCUGGAUAUAGACCCGAAACCAGGUGAUCUAGCCAUGGGCAGGUUGAAGGUUGAGUAACAUCAACUGGAGGACCGAACCGACUAAUGUUGAAAAAUUAGCGGAUGACUUGUGGCUAGGGGUGAAAGGCCAAUCAAACCUGGAGAUAGCUGGUUCUCCCCGAAAGCUAUUUAGGUAGCGCCUCGGACGAAUACUACUGGGGGUAGAGCACUGUUAAGGCUAGGGGGUCAUCCCGACUUACCAACCCUUUGCAAACUCCGAAUACCAGUAAGUACUAUCCGGGAGACACACGGCGGGUGCUAACGUCCGUCGUGGAGAGGGAAACAACCCAGACCGCCAGCUAAGGUCCCAAAUUACUACUAAGUGGGAAACGAUGUGGGAAGGCUCAGACAGCCAGGAUGUUGGCUUAGAAGCAGCCAUCAUUUAAAGAAAGCGUAAUAGCUCACUGGUCGAGUCGGCCUGCGCGGAAGAUGUAACGGGGCUAAGUAGUAAACCGAAGCUGCGGCAAUAUACUUUUGUAUAUUGGGUAGGGGAGCGUUCUGUAAGCGGUUGAAGGUGUGUGGUAACGCAUGCUGGACGUAUCAGAAGUGCGAAUGCUGACAUGAGUAACGAUAAAGGGGGUGAAAAACCUCCUCGCCGGAAGACCAAGGGUUCCUGUCCAACGUUAAUCGGGGCAGGGUAAGUCGACCCCUAAGGCGAGGCCGAAAGGCGUAGUCGAUGGGAAACGGGUUAAUAUUCCCGUACUUCUUACAAUUGCGAUGGGGGGACGGAGAAGGCUAGGUGGGCCUGGCGACGGUUGUCCAGGUUCAAGUGCGUAGGCUUAAGAGUUAGGUAAAUCCGGCUCUUCUUAAGGCUGAGACACGACGUCGAGCAUCUACGGAUGUGAAGUCAUUGAUGCCAUGCUUCCAGGAAAAGCCUCUAAGCUUCAGAUUGUAAGGAAUCGUACCCCAAACCGACACAGGUGGUCGGGUAGAGAAUACCAAGGCGCUUGAGAGAACUCGGGUGAAGGAACUAGGCAAAAUGGUACCGUAACUUCGGGAGAAGGUACGCUCUUGAUGGUGAAGUCCCUUGCGGAUGGAGCUGACGAGAGUCGCAGAUACCAGGUGGCUGCAACUGUUUAUUAAAAACACAGCACUGUGCAAAAUCGUAAGAUGACGUAUACGGUGUGACGCCUGCCCGGUGCCGGAAGGUUAAUUGAUGGGGUUAGACUUCGGUCGAAGCUCUUGAUCGAAGCCCCGGUAAACGGCGGCCGUAACUAUAACGGUCCUAAGGUAGCGAAAUUCCUUGUCGGGUAAGUUCCGACCUGCACGAAUGGCGUAAUGAUGGCCACGCUGUCUCCACCCGAGACUCAGUGAAAUUGAAAUCGCUGUGAAGAUGCAGUGUACCCGCGGCUAGACGGAAAGACCCCGUGAACCUUUACUACAGCUUGGCACUGAACAUUGACCCUACAUGUGUAGGAUAGGUGGGAGGCUUUGAAGCACGUACGCCAGUAUGUGUGGAGCCGUCCUUGAAAUACCACCCUUGUAGUGUUGAUGUUCUAACGUCGACCCCUAAUCGGGGUUGCGGACAGUGCCUGGUGGGUAGUUUGACUGGGGCGGUCUCCUCCCAAAGAGUAACGGAGGAGCACGAAGGUGGGCUAAUCACGGUUGGACAUCGUGAGGUUAGUGCAAUGGCAUAAGCCCGCUUGACUGCGAGAAUGACAAUUCGAGCAGGUGCGAAAGCAGGUCAUAGUGAUCCGGUGGUUCUGAAUGGAAGGGCCAUCGCUCAACGGAUAAAAGGUACUCCGGGGAUAACAGGCUGAUACCGCCCAAGAGUUCAUAUCGACGGCGGUGUUUGGCACCUCGAUGUCGGCUCAUCACAUCCUGGGGCUGAAGUCGGUCCCAAGGGUAUGGCUGUUCGCCAUUUAAAGUGGUACGCGAGCUGGGUUUAGAACGUCGUGAGACAGUUCGGUCCCUAUCUGCCGUGGGCGUUGGAAGAUUGAAGGGGGCUGCUCCUAGUACGAGAGGACCGGAGUGGACGAACCUCUGGUGUUCGGGUUGUGUCGCCAGACGCAUUGCCCGGUAGCUAAGUUCGGAAUCGAUAACCGCUGAAAGCAUCUAAGCGGGAAGCGAGCCCUGAGAUGAGUCUUCCCUGAUACUUUAAGUAUCCUAAAGGGUUGUCGGAGACUACGACGUUGAUAGGUCAGGUGUGUAAGUGCUGUGAGGCAUUGAGCUAACUGAUACUAAUUGCCCGUGAGGCUUAACCAUACAACACCCAAGGGGUUU